rnacentral:lncRNA from 1 species
AAAGAAAAGCCUUUUAUUAUUAAUAAAUAAUUCGAUACAAGUAUCAAAAGUAUUGGCCUCUAGGGCUUACACCAACAUUUCCACCCAAGCUCUCUAGCUUCAUUGCUCCCAUUAAGUCCAUAUGAAGAAGUUCCAACACUUUAGAAGAAGUCUGAUGUUGCAACAUUGGGUGUGACAUCAUUGGGUGUGACAUCAUAGAGAAAAGACAUAGAGAGAAAUAAACUCUCACACUCCAAGCCUCCUUCAGAAACAAAAUGUCAAGAUAUUAUGUCUGACAUUAC